UGGGGAAUUUUGGACAAAUGGGGCGAAAGCCUGAUCCAGCAACGAUGCGUGGAGGAUGAAGGUUCUCGGAUUGUAAACUCCUUUUGAGAGGGAAGAAAAAAUGACGGUACCUCUCGAAUAAGCCACGGCUAACUACGUGCCAGCAGCCGCGGUAAGACGUAGGUGGCAAGCGUUACUCGGAAUUACUAGGCGUAAAGCGCGCGUAGGCGGAAUGUUAAGUCUGUUGUGUAAUCUCUGGGCUCAACCCAGAAACUGCAACAGAAACUGGCGUUCUUGAGUGAGGCAGAGGAAAUCGGAAUUCCUAGUGUAGCAGUGAAAUGCGUAGAUAUUAGGAGGAACACCGGUGGCGAAGGCGGAUUUCUGGGCCUUUACUGACGCUAAAGUGCGAAAGCUA
rnacentral:rRNA from 1 species